rnacentral:lncRNA from 1 species
GCUCUUCUUAAUGUUAGAUCUCUUGUUAACAAGUCACUAAUAAUUAAUGAUUUUAUUUUGACACAUCACUUGGACUUUUUAUUUCUCAAUGAAACAUGGUUGAAUGAUGGUAUCAGUAAUACUAUUCUCAAUGAAAGUGCACCACAAGACUUUAUUUAUUUAAAUAAGUGUCGUACGUGCAGGAAAGGUGGUGGAGUUGCUGCCAUUUUUAAAUCAAUAUUUCAGUGCAAAGAAAUAACAUUUGGUGAUUUUAUCUCCUUUGAAUAUAUGUCAUUCUUACUGAAGGGUGAUUCAAGAGUUCUGUUUUUAGUCGUUUAUAGACCCCCAAAAUAUUCUAAAGAAUUCAUGGAUGAGUUUGCUGAACUGCUGUCAGUUGUAUGCACUGAAUACAACUUUUUAAUAAUAACAGGUGACUUAAAUAUUCAUGUAGACAAUAACAUGGACAAUACUGCCAAAGAACUGUAUGCUUUAAUGGAUACUUUUGGUCUUACACAACAUGUGACUGGUUCGACACACACUCAAGGUCACACUUUGGAUCUGGUUAUCUCUAAAGGUGUUGAUAUCUCUGCUGUUGAUGUAAGAGACUUAGCUCUAUCUGAUCAUUUCUGUGUCUUUUUUGACCUAGAGACUGUAACAUCUGUUCCCCCUAGUUAUGUGUGUUUAAAGAAAAGGUACAUAAAUGAGAACACAAGUGCACAGUUUAUGGAAGCCAUAGCAAUGACACCAACAUUGAGUGCUGAGACAGUUGAUGAUCUUCUGGAUGAGUAUAAUAGAAACGUCUGUAAUGUCAUAGAUGUGGUGGCUCCAAUCAAAACUAAGAGAAAACCAAACACACAGAAAACACCUUGGAGGAGGACUGAGAUAAUGCAGAAUUUGAAAUCUGACUGUAGAAGAGCUGAGCGUAAAUGGAGAUCAACAAAACUCCAAAUUAAUCUAGAACUGUACAAAAUAAGUCUGCGAAAAUUCAAUGAUGGCUUGUUCAAAGCAAGGCAGCAAUACUUUUCUGAAAUUAUUGCCAAAAAUGUCAACAACUCUCGCACGUUGUUUUCUGUAAUUGAAAAGCUCACAACCCCCCCAGAUCAGAUAGCCCCUGAAUUACUGUCAGCUGGAAAAUGCAAUGAAUUUGCUGUAUAUUUCAAUGAAAAAAUACAAUCAAUAAGGUCAAACAUCAGAACAAACCAGCAAAAUCACAAAAAGCUUGAACAGCUUCAACCACUGAGGGAUGAGUCAACUAUAAUGUUAGAGUUUAUUACAGUGAACCCAAAAACAAUAGAGGAGACUGUUCAGCAGCUGAAUCCAUCAACGUGUUGCCUUGACACAAUACCCUCAAACUUCUUUAAAACUGUUGUAAAGUCAAUUGUCACUGAUUUGUGUCAGAUAAUUAACUGCUCAUUCCAAUCAGGCACCGUACCAAAAUCCCUGAAAGUAGCUGCUGUGAAACCGCUGUUAAAAAAGAGAACACUGGAUGCCUCUAUACUGGCUAACUAUAGACCAAUCAGCAACCUUCCAUUCAUGGCCAAGAUCAUUGAGAAGGUGGUC